rnacentral:rRNA from 1 species
UACGUAGGGUGCGAGCGUUGUCCGGAAUUAUUGGGCGUAAAGAGCUCGUAGGCGGUCUGUCGCGUCGGACGUGAAAACCCAGGGCUCAACCCUGGGCCGGCGUUCGAUACGGGCAGACUAGAGUUCGGUAGGGGAGACUGGAAUUCCUGGUGUAGCGGUGAAAUGCGCAGAUAUCAGGAGGAACACCGGUGGCGAAGGCGGGUCUCUGGGCCGAAACUGACGCUGAGGAGCGAAAGCGUGGGGAGCAAACAGG